rnacentral:rRNA from 1 species
UACGUAGGGUGCGAGCGUUGUCCGGAAUUAUUGGGCGUAAAGGGCUCGUAGGCGGUCUGUCACGUCGGGAGUGAAAACUCAGGGCUUAACCCUGAGCCUGCUUCCGAUACGGGCAGACUAGAGGUAUGCAGGGGAGAACGGAAUUCCUGGUGUAGCGGUGAAAUGCGCAGAUAUCAGGAGGAACACCGGUGGCGAAGGCGGUUCUCUGGGCCUGUACUGACGCUGAGGAGCGAAAGCGUGGGGAGCAAACAGG